GAUGAACGCUGGCGGCGUGCCUAAUACAUGCAAGUCGAGCGAACGGACGAGAAGCUUGCUUCUCUGAUGUUAGCGGCGGACGGGUGAGUAACACGUGGAUAACCUACCUAUAAGACUGGGAUAACUUCGGGAAACCGGAGCUAAUACCGGAUAAUAUUUUGAACCGCAUGGUUCAAAAGUGAAAGACGGUCUUGCUGUCACUUAUAGAUGGAUCCGCGCUGCAUUAGCUAGUUGGUAAGGUAACGGCUUACCAAGGCAACGAUGCAUAGCCGACCUGAGAGGGUGAUCGGCCACACUGGAACUGAGACACGGUCCAGACGCCUACGGGAGGCAGCAGUAGGGAAUCUUCCGCAAUGGGCGAAAGCCUGACGGAGCAACGCCGCGUGAGUGAUGAAGGUCUUCGGAUCGUAAAACUCUGUUAUUAGGGAAGAACAGAUGUGUAAGUAACUGUGCACAUCUUGACGGUACCUAAUCAGAAAGCCACGGCUAACUACGU
rnacentral:rRNA from 1 species